rnacentral:lncRNA from 1 species
CUAUAGAGCAUCCUGGGGGGACAUGGUCAGUGCCCUGCAGCCAGUGCCACGCCAGAUACACAGGUGGCAGGGCUAGCAUGGCAGUGGGUGGGACAGCUGUGUCUCAGGGGCUGUGGGCCCUGCCGGGUCUCGGGGUGCUGGGCAGUGCCAGGCCAGGGGGUGCAGGGUACACAGGUGGCAGGGCUAGCGCAGCCGUGUCUUGGGGGGCUGUGGGCGCUGCCACGUUUCGGGACGGUGGGCGGUGCCAGGCUUGGGGGGUGCAGGUUACACAGCCAGUUGGAGAGCUGCAUUGGCUCUAAUGGCUGCGUCUGUCCUGUCCUCAGAGCCCUUCCACCUCCGGCGCCGCAGGGAGAAGCUCCCGGAUGGACUGCAUGGUGGUGUGGGGUCGGGGCCGCAGGCCGCAGGAAGUCUGGUGCGAGCUCCCCUCUACAGCCUGGGGCACAGUGUGGUGUGGGGAUGGGAGCUGCGGUGCUCUGGGCUUGGUGAUUCCUGGCACAUGGUACUCUUGGGGCCAAUCACAGGGAUGCGGUGAGGAGGCCUGGUGAACGCACCUCUCCAGCCCCCCGCGGCGGGCCUGAGGGGCCGUCGGGUGGCAGAUGGGCUGCCCUGGGGCUCCGCUUUCCAGGAGCGGGAGGCGGUGGUGGAGGAGCUGCGGCGUUGGAGAAGCGCGUUCCCGGUGCCCUGGGGCUGCGCUGGGCUUGGGUGGCGCCUGUGCCCUGCAGGGUCUGGGGCUGGGCAGAAAGCAGACGUCCCCCAGCUGCGACCCCGGGGGGGCCGGGCCUGUCCCACACCUGUCGGUCGCAUCACCGGGGGGCAGGGUACAACUGGCAGGCCUCUCACUUGCUGUUUUCCCCACAGAGCCUGCCAAGCAGAUUGUCAAGCAGCUGGGUGAGAAAGCAGGACUGAAGGUAAGAUCAUAGAGCCACAAGGUGAGACGGGACCGCAAGGGUCGUCUAGCCUAGCCCCUGCCAAGCUGCAGGAUCUGUUGUCUAAGCCAUCCAAGACCGCUGGUUAUCCAGCCUCCUUCUGAAAACCUCCAGCGAAGGAGCUUCCUCGACCUCCCUAGGCAGGUCUGUUCCGUUGUCGUCCUCUUCUUGCCGUUAGGAAGCUUUUCCUGAGAUUUGAUCUAAACCUGCAGUGCUGUCGUUUGAACCCAUUGCCUCUUGUCCUGCCCUCUGUGGCAAGAGAAACUUUUCUCCAUCUUUUUUAUGGCAGCCUUUCAAGUAUUUGAAGACCAGUAUGAUGUCUCCUCUUCAUCUCCUCUUUUCCGAACUACACAUACUCAGUUCCUUCAGCCUUUGCUCGUAUGACUUGCAUUCCAUCCCUUUGAUCAUCUUUGUCGCUUGCUUCUGGGUCCUUCCCAGUUUCUCUCUACAUCCUUUCUAUAGGUUGGUGACCAACAUUGGACACACUACUCCAGCUGAGGCCUCACCAGCGCCGUGUAGAGCGGUACUAUCACCUCCCAUGACUUGCAUGCUGUGCCUCUGUUAAUGCAACCCAAAAUU